GAUGAAGAACGAAGCGAAAUGCGAUAAGUAAUGUGAAUUGCAGAAUUCAGUGAAUCAUCGAAUCUUUGAACGCACAUUGCGCCCGCCAGUAUUCUGGCGGGCAUGCCUGUUCGAGCGUCAUUUCAACCAUCAAGCCCCCGGGCUUGUGUUGGGGACCUGCGGCUGCCCGCAGGCCCUGAAAACCAGUGGCGGGCUCGCUGUCACACCGAGCGUAGUAGCAUCAUCUCGCUCAGGGCGUGCUGCGGGUUCCGGCCGUUAAAAAGCCUCUAAUACCCAAGGUUGACCUCGGAUCAGGUAGGAAGACCCGCUGAACUUAAGCAUAUCAAUAAGCGGAGGA
rnacentral:misc_RNA from 1 species